UACGAAGGGGGCUAGCGUUGUUCGGAAUUACUGGGCGUAAAGGGCGCGUAGGCGGCCUGCUAAGUCGAUCGUGAAAUCCCCGGGCUUAACCCGGGAACUGCGACCGAUACUGGUUGGCUUGAAUUCGGGAGAGGGAUGCGGAAUUCCAGGUGUAGCGGUGAAAUGCGUAGAUAUCUGGAGGAACACCGGUGGCGAAGGCGGCAUCCUGGACCGGCAUUGACGCUGAGGCGCGAAAGCCAGGGGAGCAAACGGG
rnacentral:rRNA from 1 species